CAUGAUCGACUUUAACCAGUCGGGACAUUCUUUCUUGUAAUGCCCCUUUUUCUUGCAGUGUAGACACUGAUCUUUUUCUACUAUGAUAGGCUUUUGGUGAUGCUGCUGCAUAGGAGCCUUUCCUCGUGCCUUGAAAGAGGAGUUAGCAUUCUUUUUCCUGUUGUCCUUCACAUAGUGCAAUGAACCACCAUAUGAGGAUCUAAUUCUGUCCUCUUCCUGCACGCACAUGGCUAUCAUUUUUUC
rnacentral:lncRNA from 1 species